rnacentral:tRNA from 1 species
AAUUAAUGAGCUUGAAUAAGCUUAUAUUUUGAAAAUAUAAGAAAGAAUUAAAAUUUUCUAUUAAUUU